AUUGAACGCUGGCGGCAUGCUUUACACAUGCAAGUCGAACGGUAACAGGUUAAGCUGACGAGUGGCGAACGGGUGAGUAAUGCAUCGGAACGUGCCCGGUCGUGGGGGAUAACGCAGCGAAAGCUGCGCUAAUACCGCAUACGAUCUGAGGAUGAAAGCGGGGGACCGUAAGGCCUCGCGCGAUCGGAGCGGCCGAUGUCAGAUUAGGUAGUUGGUGGGGUAAAGGCCUACCAAGCCGACGAUCUGUAGCUGGUCUGAGAGGACGACCAGCCACACUGGGACUGAGAAACGGCCCAGACGCCUACGGGAGGCAGCAGUGGGGAAUUUUGGACAAUGGGUGCAAGCCUGAUCCAGCAAUGCCGCGUGCAGGAAGAAGGCCUUCGGGUUGUAAACUGCUUUUGUACGGAGCGAAAAGGCUCUCUCUAAUACAGGGGGCUCAUGACGGUACCGUAAGAAUAAGCACCGGCUAACUACGUGCCAGCAGCCGCAGUAA
rnacentral:rRNA from 1 species